ACGCUCGACACCUACGGGGGCAGCAGUCGGGAAUAUUGCGCAAUGGAGGAAACUCUGACGCAGUGACGCCGCGUAUGGGAAGAAGGUUUUCGGAUUGUAAACCAUUUUAGACAAGGAAGAAACAAGACAGUACUUGUAGAAUAAGCUCCGGCUAACUACGUACACGCAGCCGCGGUAAUCUGAGCGGGCUGGCAAGGC
rnacentral:rRNA from 1 species